rnacentral:rRNA from 1 species
AUGAGGAGCUUGACGACGUCUCUCGUGGCGGCGCUGAUGGUACUGCUGCUGUCGGCGCGGGCAGCUCCGGCCGAGCCGUCGACUGCAUCUACCGUCUGUGACGGCAACUACUCGUGCCCCGAGGGCGCGACCUGCUGCUGCAUCUACCGGCAGGGCGAGGAGUGCUUCACCUGGACCUGCUGCCCGCUCCAGGGCACCACCUGCUGCGAUGACAGCUACAGCUGCUGCCCGCAAGAUUACGGCUUCUGCGACACCAAUCUGGGAACCUGCCUCAUGGGUCAGGACAGCCCGCUUUCAGUGAAGGCGCUGAAGCGUACAGUGGCCAAGCCGCACUGGGCUUUCUCGUCAGGACCCAAGGGCACUAAUAUGUCUGAAUCUACGGAAGUAUUCGACACUUGCGACAGCACUACUCGGAUCUGUAGCACGUUAUAA